rnacentral:rRNA from 1 species
GUGGAUGCCUUGGCAGUCAGAGGCGAUGAAGGACGUACUAACCUGCGAUAAGCCGUGAGCAGUCGGUAAGAGACAUUACGACUCACGGAUUUCCGAAUGGGGAAACCCACUUAGCAUAAGCUAGGUAUCGCUGCGUGAAUACAUAGCGUAGCGAGGCGAACCGGGAGAACUGAAACAUCUAAGUACCCCGAGGAAAAGAAAUCAACCGAGAUUCCCUCAGUAGCGGCGAGCGAACGGGGAUUAGCCCUUAAGCAUCUUGGAAGUUAGUGGAACGGUCCUGGAAAGGCCGGCGAUACAGGGUGAUAGCCCCGUACACGAAAACAACCUUGAUGUGAAAUCGAGUAGGGCGGGACACGUGAUAUCCUGUCUGAAUAUGGGGGGACCAUUUCC